UUUACCAAUAAACGGUUGAAAGUUAUGCAAUUGUUAGUCUGUCUGAUGCUGGGUGCACUAUUUUCAAUGUGCUUGCACAAGUGAUCCCAUCGAAAAAACUAUAACUAGAAAUUACGCAAACAUGUAGUAAAAGUUGUGUCAAGUGCCGUGGAAUAUAAUAACACGAAAAGCGUGGUAAAAAUUGCAGAUGAAGGGCAGCCAAGUGAAGGAAACAAACGUUGGCAAAUAACAUCCAAAACGAAUGAAAAUUUAAUUAGUCUUGGUAAAGGCAGAUAAGUCUUGUUUUAUGCUUAAACUCAAUUUAUAAAUGGGCUUAAACAAAAGCUGCUGCGCUGAAAAUUAUAUGC